GCUGGUAAUCCUGAAGCAAUGACUGAAGGAAACACAGACGUAAAUAGAAAUGAGUCCUGAGAUGAAUUCAAAGCAACCAACAAAAACACAGUGAACCGCACACAAAAACCAGAAAGAAUUUAAUAAUAUCAUUGUUUCAAAUACAGAUAAAACCUUUGGAAUAGAACCAGUGUUGCGCAACUCCUCUGUUUUACACAACUUGAUACCAGAAAAGAUUUCAUAUAUAAAACAACCUACGAAUUACAUCCAAAAAGGAAAAAACAAAUUAGAUUCUACAUUGUGCCCUCUAUAGAAGAAGUUAAGAAAAAGAAUACAAUACUCCAUAAAUUUAAUGCCCUAUCAGCCAACAAAUUUUAGGAUGCACAUGUUACAAUUCAAUGCAGUGCACAAGGAAGAAAGAAAUAUGAGUAACAGUUAAACAAACUUUACACAGUGAAACGUUUCUCUUACUUUGUAAAACUGUCUUGGAAGUGGAAGCUCACAAAAGCAGAAUCUUAUUGGAGAACAGAAAAGCAAAUGAAAAUGCAUAAUAUAUGCAAUUAAGGGAGUGAAAAAAAAAAAAGAAAAUAUUAGAGAAAAAUGAGUUGAGCCAUUAGAAAAUAUGGAAAAGGUGGCAGGGGACCGAAGAAGGAACCAAGGAAGACAGGAAAACAGUUAAAUAAAUUAUUAUGCGUGUAACUAGUUCCAAAGGAUCAAUGAACAGUCCUAAAGCUUUUCAAGGAUGAUUUCAAGAUGUAGAGGAAUUCCGCUGGGGGUUUUCUAGAGGAUCCAAAGAAUGAAAAAAGAUUCAAAUUCAUUUUUUUAGUACCACCAUGGGGUACUUAUGGGUGGGACAGCACCCCCUUAAAAAAUAAGAAUGUAACAUGUUUUUUUUCCCUGAAAUAAUAAAAUGUAAAGAGAAAAGAAUGUUUUCCCAAAGAAACUGAUCAUAUGUUUCUCCUGGAAUACAAAAUAUUACAUAAAUAAUAUUAAUUUGAUGGCAUUUGUUAUUGUCACAGUAUUACCUAAGCCUAACAGUGCUCAUUUGACAAUCCUAGAGAUGGAGUUGUCAAUGUAGAAAUAACAUCAUAUUCACAUAAACCUCUAUAAAAGGUGGGAAUAAACCUGUAAACAUCCCUGCAGGGAGUGGAAGGAAGAAGGAAUCUCUGGUGUAACUCAACUGAACUUAUAUUAUCUUUGCUCAAACAAAUAUCAGGGAGGCAGCAAUUUCAGUUUCAUGGAAAGAUAUUGCUACCCAUUUACACCAAAACAAAAAAGACAGGCCGCAGGUCUUACCCAAACCCCAGGAAUCAAUGGCCCAAGGUGGAGAUUUUCUGAUU
rnacentral:misc_RNA from 1 species